rnacentral:rRNA from 1 species
AGAGUUUGAUCCUGGCUCAGGAUGAUUUCUGGCGGCGUGCUUAACACACGCAAGUCGAGCGAAGCAUUUAAGUGGAUUCCUUCGGGAUGAAGGUUUUAUGACUUAGCGGCGGACGGGUGAGUAACGCGUGGGCAACCUGCCCCAUACCGGGGGAUAACAGCCGGAAACGGCUGCUAAUACCGCAUAAGCGCACGGUACCGCAUGGUACAGUGUGAAAAACUCCGGUGGUAUGGGAUGGGCCCGCGUUGGAUUAGCUAGUUGGCAGGGUAAAGGCCUACCAAGGCGACGAUCCAUAGCCGGCCUGAGAGGGUGGACGGCCACAUUGGGACUGAGAUACGGCCCAAACUCCUACGGGAGGCAGCAGUGGGGAAUAUUGCACAAUGGGGGAAACCCUGAUGCAGCGACGCCGCGUGAGCGAAGAAGUAUUUCGGUAUGUAAAGCUCUAUCAGCAGGGAAGAAAAUGACGGUACCUGACUAAGAAGCCCCGGCUAACUACGUGCCAGCAGCCGCGGUAAUACGUAGGGGGCAAGCGUUAUCCGGAUUUACUGGGUGUAAAGGGAGCGUAGACGGCGUAUCAAGUCUGAUGUGAAAGGCAGGGGCUCAACUCCUGGACUGCAUUGGAAACUGGUAUGCUCGAGUGCCGGAGGGGUAAGCGGAAUUCCUAGUGUAGCGGUGAAAUGCGUAGAUAUUAGGAGGAACACCAGUGGCGAAGGCGGCUUUCUGGACUGAAACUGACACUGAGGCACGAAAGUGUGGGGAGCAAACAGGAUUAGAUACCCUGGUAGUCCACACCGUAAACGAUGAGCACUAGGUGUCGGGGGCGCAAGUCCUCGGUGCCGGAGUUAACGCAUUAAGUGCUCCGCCUGGGGAGUACGUACGCAAGUAUGAAACUCAAAGGAAUUGACGGGGACCCGCACAAGCAGCGGAGCAUGUGGUUUAAUUCGAAGCAACGCGAAGAACCUUACCAGGGCUUGACAUCCCUCUGACAGGACUUUAAUCGGUUCCUUCUUCGGACAGAGGAGACAGGUGGUGCAUGGUUGUCGUCAGCUCGUGUCGUGAGAUGUUGGGUUAAGUCCCGCAACGAGCGCAACCCUUGUCAUUAGUUGCCAGCAGUAAGAUGGGCACUCUAAUGAGACUGCCGGGGAUAACUCGGAGGAAGGUGGGGAUGACGUCAAAUCAUCAUGCCCCUUAUGUUCUGGGCUACACACGUGCUACAAUGGUCGGUACAAAGAGCAGCGAGGCCGUGAGGCGGAGCAAAUCUCAAAAGCCGAUCCCAGUUCGGAUUGUAGGCUGCAACUCGCCUACAUGAAGUCGGAGUUGCUAGUAAUCGCAGAUCAGAAUGCUGCGGUGAAUGCGUUCCCGGGUCUUGCACACACCGCCCGUCA